AGAUCCCUGCCUACCUGAGGCCUUCCAAAGUAAUCUUAUGAGCAUGCUAGACUAUGUCUUCUGUGAAAAUAAAUACUAGAGGAGGGACAUGUGAUCAUUGCCUUCUGCUCUGUGCAGACUGAGGGCAAGGCUUCUUUAUGACUUCUCCCCAGAAAGCCCUCCUGGCUGAGCAGACAGAGCAAAGAUCUCCAACUGGAACAUCCAGUCUUUCGUGGUGAAAGGUGUCACACCCCAAAGGCAGCCACUCCUAUAUUUUCAAUCCUUAUCUCCAGAGACAACUGGAUAGUUCUAUGGAAUUGAGUACAACUUGGCAUAAAUACAUUUAAUACCAUCACGGAAAACUGCAUCAGCUCCCUCAAGUACAUUACGUUUAUUCAAAUGCUCGUCAUUUACCACUCUGAAGGGUUUUGCAUUGCCCAAAGGACAUUCAUAGAAAAAUUAACCAAAAGGAACAUUUUAGAAGUUCAUGGAUUUGUAAUAAAAUUGCAGUUUUCACUGACUGUUACACCAUGG